CUCCAACCGUGCAGCCCGCCCCUGACGCCGCCGGUAACUGCGACAGUCGGGGUCGGUGCGGUUUGCUAAGUGGUCGGUUCCUGGAGCUGCGGUCUUCUGCUAGCCUGAUCCGCAGCUUCAGCCUCCGCCGCCUCCUCAGCCCUCGGCGCCGCCGCCUGACCCGCAGGCCGCCGCGGGCCGCAGAGCCCAUGAGGGCGCGGGCACCGCCGCCGCCUCCGCGGCGUCGCCGUCGUCCCGGAGCGCCCCGAGCUGGCGCGGGCAUGGCCGCGGCAUGAGCGUGGAGCCGCCGCCGGAGCUGGAGGAGAAGGCGGCGUCGGAGCCCGAGGCGGGAGCCAUGCCGGAGAAGCGCGCGGGCGCGCAGGCCGCGGGGAGCACCUGGCUACAAGGCUUUGGCCCACCAAGUGUGUACCAUGCUGCUAUUGUCAUCUUCCUUGAAUUCUUUGCGUGGGGCCUUUUGACAACUCCAAUGUUGACUGUUCUACAUGAAACAUUUUCUCAACACACAUUCCUCAUGAAUGGUCUCAUUCAAGGUGUAAAGGGCCUGCUCUCUUUUUUGAGUGCCCCACUCAUUGGUGCCCUGUCUGAUGUGUGGGGGAGGAAGCCCUUUCUCCUCGGCACUGUAUUCUUUACCUGCUUCCCAAUCCCACUGAUGAGGAUCAGCCCAUGUUUAUGCAAAUACCGUAUACGUGAUAAACGUCCCUACAACAUGAUCUUUGGAAUGAACUAAGACAAAGGAAACUCUGAGGAAGGACCAUGGCCUGAGAGGUGGAAUUCAUCCUUCCGAGGACUGAGAUGAGGACGGAAAAUGAACCAUCGGGGGGAUUGACGGUGAAGAUGCUAAUACCUGCCCAGCAUCGACCCUAGUGCGGGUCCCAAGACCAUCCCCCUGUGCAGGCUCCACCACCGCUGUGCUAACUGGACCGCGGCAGAAGAGUGGAAGUUUUCAUGGGCUGAGCUGCUGAGUUCAGCCUGGGAACUGAGGCCAACAAGGGAGUCUCCUCGGCACACAAGUUUGAAAGAAGUCCUGGUGACUUCAAGCUCAGAACCAUGGACGGCAGGGCUCCCUCUGGAUGUGGAAUUCUCCGUCCCUUUCCAGGGAGGGAACAAAGCCCACAGCACCGGAACUGGCCAGUCAUGGUGGCUUAUGCCUGUAAUCCCAGGACUUUGGGAGGCCGAGGCUGGAGGAUCACUUGAGCCAAGGAGUUUUAAGACCAGCGUGGGCAACAUGGCAAAACCCCAUCUCUAC
rnacentral:lncRNA from 1 species